rfam:Physcomitrella patens subsp. patens PHYPAscaffold_83 genomic scaffold, whole genome shotgun sequence.
AUCCCAGUCUUACGUGACAUGUUCGUCUGAUUCAUGGGAGGCCUACAGAAACCUGAGUUUCGCUGAAAUCACCUUAAUUACUGGGUAUAAUCUGAUAGUAACUUCUCAGACAGUU